UACGUAGGGCGCAAGCGUUGUCCGGAAUUAUUGGGCGUAAAGCGCGUGUAGGCGGCCAGGUAGGUCCGCUGUGAAAACCCGAGGCUCAACCUCGGGACGUCGGCGGAAACCAUUUGGCUAGAGUCCGGAAGAGGAGAGUGGAAUUCCCGGUGUAGCGGUGAAAUGCGCAGAUAUCGGGAAGAACACCCGUGGCGAAGGCGGCUCUCUGGGACGGUACUGACGCUGAGACGCGAAAGCGUGGGGA
rnacentral:rRNA from 1 species